rnacentral:rRNA from 1 species
CCGGCACGGGUGAGUAACACGUAUCCAACCUGCCGUCUACUCUUGGACAGCCUUCUGAAAGGAAGAUUAAUACAAGAUGGCAUCAUGAGUCCGCAUGUUCACAUGAUUAAAGGUAUUCCGGUAGACGAUGGGGAUGCGUUCCAUUAGAUGGUAGGCGGGGUAACGGCCCACCUAGUCUUCGAUGGAUAGGGGUUCUGAGAGGAAGGUCCCCCACAUUGGAACUGAGACACGGUCCAA